UACGUAGGGUCCGAGCGUUUGUCCGGAAUUACUGGGCGUAAAGAGCUCGUAGGUGGUUUGUCGCGUUGUUCGUGAAAACUCACAGCUUAACUGUGGGCGUGCGGGCGAUACGGGCAGACUGGAGUACUGCAGGGGAGACUGGAAUUCCUGGUGUAGCGGUGGAAUGCGCAGAUAUCAGGAGGAACACCGGUGGCGAAGGCGGGUCUCUGGGCAGUAACUGACGCUGGAGGAGCGAAAGCGUGGGGAGCGAACAGG
rnacentral:rRNA from 1 species